ACAUGCAAGUCGAACGAACUCUGGUAUUGAUUGGUGCUUGCAUCAUGAUUUACAUUUGAGUGAGUGGCGAACUGGUGAGUAACACGUGGGAAACCUGCCCAGAAGCGGGGGAUAACACCUGGAAACAGAUGCUAAUACCGCAUAACAACUUGGACCGCAUGGUCCGAGCUUGAAAGAUGGCUUCGGCUAUCACUUUUGGAUGGUCCCGCGGCGUAUUAGCUAGAUGGUGGGGUAACGGCUCACCAUGGCAAUGAUACGUAGCCGACCUGAGAGGGUAAUCGGCCACAUUGGGACUGAGACACGGCCCAAACUCCUACGGGAGGCAGCAGUAGGGAAUCUUCCACAAUGGACGAAAGUCUGAUGGAGCAACGCCGCGUGAGUGAAGAAGGGUUUCGGCUCGUAAAACUCUGUUGUUAAAGAAGAACAUAUCUGAGAGUAACUGUUCAGGUAUUGACGGUAUUUAACCAGAAAGCCACGGCUAACUACGUGCCAGCAGCCGCGGUAAUACGUAGGUGGCAAGCGUUGUCCGGAUUUAUUGGGCGUAAAGCGAGCGCAGGCGGUUUUUUAAGUCUGAUGUGAAAGCCUUCGGCUCAACCGAAGAAGUGCAUCGGAAACUGGGAAACUUGAGUGCAGAAGAGGACAGUGGAACUCCAUGUGUAGCGGUGAAAUGCGUAGAUAUAUGGAAGAACACCAGUGGCGAAGGCGGCUGUCUGGUCUGUAACUGACGCUGAGGCUCGAAAGUAUGGGUAGCAAACAGGAUUAGAUACCCUGGUAGUCCAUACCGUAAACGAUGAAUGCUAAGUGUUGGAGGGUUUCCGCCCUUCAGUGCUGCAGCUAACGCAUUAAGCAUUCCGCCUGGGGAGUACGGCCGCAAGGCUGAAACUCAAAGGAAUUGACGGGGGCCCGCACAAGCGGUGGAGCAUGUGGUUUAAUUCGAAGCUACGCGAAGAACCUUACCAGGUCUUGACAUACUAUGCAAAUCUAAGAGAUUAGACGUUCCCUUCGGGGACAUGGAUACAGGUGGUGCAUGGUUGUCGUCAGCUCGUGUCGUGAGAUGUUGGGUUAAGUCCCGCAACGAGCGCAACCCUUAUUAUCAGUUGCCAGCAUUAAGUUGGGCACUCUGGUGAGACUGCCGGUGACAAACCGGAGGAAGGUGGGGAUGACGUCAAAUCAUCAUGCCCCUUAUGACCUGGGCUACACACGUGCUACAAUGGAUGGUACAACGAGUUGCGAACUCGCGAGAGUAAGCUAAUCUCUUAAAGCCAUUCUCAGUUCGGAUUGUAGGCUGCAACUCGCCUACAUGAAGUCGGAAUCGCUAGUAAUCGCGGAUCAGCAUGCCGCGGUGAAUACGUUCCCGGGCCUUGUACACACCGCCCGUCACACCAUGAGAGUUUGUAACACCCAAAGUCGGUGGGGUAACCUUUUAGGAACCAGCCGCCUAA
rnacentral:rRNA from 2 species